AAAAAAUUAUAUUUUCCCACUAUUUUAAGCCAGGAACAAAUCUAGCUGAUUCCACCGCAAUGUUAACAGGGAAGCGGCUUAUUAUCUGCGCAACAAAAUGUAGGAGUUUCCACUAGAUUUUAACAUUUUUCCGACACAACCUACAGUUUUAUGUGCCAAUACAUUGAUUUCAACAUAGAUUUUAUCACACAAAUUUAACAUGUAAAGUUAUAAUAAUAAUGAUAAGUCUAAGAAGUUCCAAGUAGCGAGAUUCACAGAAUGCGUGCAAGUAUUUUAAGUACCUACAUAAAUAUUAUUUUAUUAUAUCUAACGUCGCUUAAAAGAUAACACGAAAAAUAUGAAAUGUUACUUACAACUCAAUAAAUACUAAAUAAAUAACAAUAACAAAGUAUUAAUAUUAAUAAAGAAAAUGAGUACAGCACAGGAAAAUCGAAUCGAUCACGUCAAACGAAAAAAAUCAUUGAUCAAAUUGGUCUGUACAGAUAUUUUUUGUUCGGAAAAAACGAAACCUAUACAUAUUUGUUUACUUUUGAACUAUAAACUUGUCUAAUAAUAAUAAUAACUUAGGUAUAAAUAAAAAAUAAUAUGCUUAGCUAUAGGAAACAAGGUUAGCACCAUAUUGAAUAAACUACGCAAUUUUGUCAUUAAAAUAAUUGUUUUUGACAAUCUGAACUCUGAAACUAAACACACUACAAGAGCUGCUGCUUUCUUGUCUUAAAGUAAGGGACAGCGCAUACAGAUGGAGUGGAGCAGAGCCGGGUAUUUUUUAUAACAAAUUAAACUCGAAGUAAGUUCUUG